rnacentral:lncRNA from 1 species
ACUGGAGUGGAGGAAAGGCUCGUGUCAUUCAGCAGCAGCGCGCCACAGAUAGUAGCUGGUGGUGGUGUGGUGGGAUACCCUUGGUCCGGGGUGGUUGUGAAAGACGAGAAUGAAAUAGGCGCGUUGCAGCAGCAGCUCAACUACAUGGACUCAGCAGCAUCAGCAGCUCAUCAUCAUCAUCAUCAACAUCAACUCAGCAGCUCCCCAGCCUUUGUUGAUCCAAAUGUGAUGAUGGAAUGUGAUGGUGCUCUCUCUCUUCUGUCAUCGCCCCCUCCCGCCAUCAUCGACUAUCAUCAAACCACUUCUCCCACCUUGCAUUUUCCUCACCAAAAUGUUGGAUCAUCCCAUCAAACUCUCUCUUUCAUGUGGGACUAGGACUACCUGCCCUGCCCUGCCCUGCCUUCAAGUUUCAUGUGUGCUCAACUUUUAAGCUUCAAGAAUCACUGUAUUUGGACAGGAUCAAUGAUUCUACACUGUUCUUGGCUGCACCUCUAAAUCAGAGAAUAGCUCUCUUAUUGGGGGUGGGGAAACAAAUAAGACAAUAGUAUAAUCUUGAUUUUAUGUGUAGUUGCAAUACAUGUUUGAGGUACAUUCUGGUAUGCAGCGCACCCGUCUUAGUUAUAAUUAAUUAACUCUAAUUAGGGCUUAAUAAUUUUUAAAUGAGAAUUAAUGUAUACCUCAAUUGGAAUGGAUCCACCUUAUAGGUACAAAACUUUUUUUGCCUAAAUGUUUUUGUAGUUUAUAUGACAAUAAAAAAGAGCUAACUAACUUUGACACCCUUUACUGACAUUUACACACUAGACCACAAAUACAACUAUUUUUUGCCAUAUCAGAUAAAGUCCACACGUAAAUAGUAAAUCUUAAUUAAAUUUAAUCGGAAAAUGUCUCUAGACCGACAUUGCAACCGAUUGCAAGCACAUUAUAUUUUUUUUACUAUAAUUAAAAAAAUUGUCAAAAAAUUAAAUUUUGGUAUAAGGUCGGUAUUUUCAUGCAAUUUUGCCUAAAAUCAAUACAUACUUCAUUAGUUUUAUUUUCAAUUAGUCUUUCAUAAUUACAUAUUUGCUAGAUUCUUGUUUCCCAAUUUUGGGCAAAUUCCACUUCUUUGAAAAAGAAAAAAGAAAAAAAAAGAUACGGGUGUUGGAUUGAGUUAAAAUGGGGACUUGAAAUUAGAAUUAGAAUCAAGUUUUGUUCAUUUUUUAGGAUUAGUUCAAUAAAUGGGAACUCAGCCCAAAUAAGGCAUAGUCCAAAUUAGAAAUGGCGUCAUUUUGAUGAGAUCUUUCAUGCACAUUAUUUACAUAUUCAAAUACUCUUUUCGUUCUACUUAUCUUAACACAUUUAUUUUCAACACGAAGAUUAAAAAUAAAAAAUUAAGAAUAUAAAAUGAAUAUAAAUCAAUUAUUUUAUAUGUGUAGAGAUGGUAUGGACCACGCACGAUUUCUAAAAAAUGCCAUUAUAAAUAGGACAAUCAAAAAAGAAAAAUGUGCCAAGAUAAGUGGGAUGAAGAGAAUAACAUAUUUAUAAAUAUUCUAUUAAAGUGUCUGAAUAGAUACUUACAAAUAUCCUAUUAGAACAUGUGGUUGAUCUUAUUGCACGGGAGGAUGUGUGUUUAUAAUUUGCCUAUUUUUUAGCAGUUCUUUAGUGAUGUAAUUCAAUUAAUCCGGUUUGUUCGCUUAUGAAAACCAAACUAAAAACUGAAUUUCAUGCUCAUCUCGAUCUAUAUGAUACGCUAAGAAGAAGACGUUACUUUGCAUGAUUGAUAAAAUAUAUGAUUGAGUAUUUUAUCAUUAAUAGCAUAAUUUUCUUAAAAUUAAUUUAAAUGAUAAAAAUAAUUAAAUGUCUUUAAACAUCCAAAAUUUUAAUUCAUUAAAGUAAACAAGAAAUUAAAAUUACCAUUUUUAUCUAUCAAGAUUAAUCCUUUUUAUAACUUGGAAAAAAAGACUAAUCCUUAAGGUAAACGACUCCUAAAAUGUUAUCCUUUUUAUAACUUGGAAUUCAAUUUGUUGAAUAAUUUGUAGAGUUGGGGCAAUUAAUCCACGUCAGCAACCAAUUGUUAAAAUUUCAAUUUAAUUUAGUUUUGACUGUAAAACUUUUACCUUGUUUCUCAAUUACCUAUUAUUAUCUUCACCCUGCCUUCGAAAGCACCAUUCAUUUGCAUUCACUUUGACUCUACCACAACUAAGUAUUCAUUAACACUAAAAUCAAGGUUUGUAUGAUUGUAUCAUUAAACUAUGAGGAAAAGGAAUUAAAACUCUUACUCAAAUCCAAACCAGUACUCAAACAUGGCUACUCAUAUAUAUUAGGGUUGAGCUGGGCUGGGCUGGGUUAAUAAGAAACAGGCAAAAUAAAAUAAAAUAAAAUAAAAUAAUAAUAGAUCUAAAAGGCCUGCCCAAUUAUAGGCUUGCUAGGCUGAUCACAGUUCAACCCGGCUAGAUUUUUAUGAUAAUUUUCUACUAUAUAUUUAUAGUUGACUUAAAUACAUGCCAUAUAGCAUCAUAUAGUAUCUAUAGUAGUUGAACUUUUAGGUCAGGUUUCCUUUUCAUAUUCAUAAAAUAUAUAAUUAAGUAUAUUUAUCUUUGAAAUUAGUUAGAAUUUUUUUUAAUUCCACACUUUUAGUUAGAUACAAAUCAAACAAAGAUAGUUCACACGAUAAAAAUAAUCAAGGGUCUUAAAAUAUCUAAAGUUUCAAUCUAUCUAAGUAACCAAGGGAUUAACCUUACUAUUUUUAUCUAUUAAUUAAGACUAAUCCCCAAAAAUAAAUUCCUAUGAUUGAAUAUUUUUAUCUUUAAUACUAGGAUUUCUCCUAUUGCAUAAUUCCAAUGAGAUAUGAAUCAAACAAAACUAGCACAAAUGAUAGAAAUCAUUAAGAACUUUAUGAUAUCCCGAAGUUUCAAUCCAUUAGCAAAUAAGGGAUUAACCUCAUUAUUUUUAUCUAUGGAGACUAAUUCUCAAAAGUAAAUAUCUACUUAGUCUAUCAAAUUGAAGGCCCUAGGUUCAAAACCUAAGAUCAAUAUUUUUUAAGCAUAACUUUUGAUUAGACGUAUUAUAUACGCAUAUCUUGAGUGUUUUUAUCUUAUUUCAAUACUUAGUUCAUGUCAAAUAUAAUCUCUUAAUUUAAUUGCAUAAUUAAUACUCCAUCGGUCCCACCGAAAGUGAGUCACAUUUCUUUUUGGGUCGUUCCAACAAAAGUCAGUCGUUUUCAUUUUCUAUAAAAAUUAGGAAAUAAGAUCAUAUUAAUAAAAUUAAUUACACUCUUAAUUUUUUUAAUCACCCUAACUAACACUCAUCCUUUAUUUUUGAAAUUAUUUUUUAUUAUUUUUUUUAAAAAAAUCAUUAAUUACACAUAAUUAAAUGCACUUAAUACAUUAAACAUCAAUUUCUUAAAUUUCGUGCUCAAUAAAACUGUCUCACUUAUAGUGGGGCAGAAGGAGUGAAAAUUUUUAUGGCUCUUAAUAGAUUGGGGUGAAGAAAGGUCAAUUUUAGAUGACUUUGGAAGUAUUGAAGAUUUAUGAAGAAAGAUAGUUUUGAUGCACGAAGACCGGAUGAUAUGCCCAUACUGCCUGGGAAUCCUGAAGUGACGAUUGACGUGGAGAAUUUUUGUGGGCUUAUACCAUUUUUGUCUUUUACUGAGCGUUUAGUUAGUUUUAUGGGCUUUAAACAUGGUUUUUAGAUUUAAUGUCUUUUUUCCUUUUAAAGAUAGGACUUAACCAUAUAUAUAGAUGAAAAUAUUCAAUUGAGAAGCAUAAUUAUGUUAAGAAGUGAAAAAUAAUCUAAAUAGGUGUGAAUAAGUAAUACAUUUUGAUGAACAUGUUAAUUAAUUUUUAUGAAUGCGUAUUUGGUUUGGGGUUCGAUCCCUGGUUGUGGCGUUUUUAACAAAUUAAAUAGAUUCGUAUUUUCAUCAACUUCUCAAUAGAACCUAAUCCUAUAUAUAUAUAUAUAUAUAUAUAUAUAUAUAGUAGNGGCCCUUCAAUAAUUGUGUUGUCUAUUUGCACGCAUAUAUUUUUUUAGAUUGGAUUUUGUAUAUAUAUAUAGGAGUGCUACGGUAUACACACUUCUUAACAUAUAAAAUAUGAACCAGCUAAAAUGUAUGAAUUUUAUGUAGAACACGUAUGAAUUCGCUGUGUAAAUAUAUGAAUUGCGAAAAAUAACUUUUUUGUUACUUAUGAGAUUCGAACUCGGGACCAUUAAUUCAUCUAACAAGGUGAUGAAUCAACCAUGGAUGAUGAUGAUUUAAGGGCUUAAAAUGAUUUCUAUUUUAUACUUUAAGAGGUGUUUUUAUAAGAUGAGUUAUAUUAAGAAUAUUAUUUUUUUAAUCAGAAAUCAGAAUAUGCAUAAGUCAGUAUAUAGUGUUACAUAAGCUGCUUAUAAUGACUACAUAACGAAAUUCUAUUAUUAGAUAAAAAAAAUUGCUAUCUCCAUAAUUCUAAUUCAGAUAAAAAAUUAUCCUUUUGAAGUUCAAAAAAAAAUUUGCCUCCUCUAAUCAUUCUCAUUUCUCAUCACAUUUGUCCAUUCUCAUUUGAUCUUUUUCAUAUAUAGGGUUAGGUUAUAGUGAGAUUGCUAUUUUUUCGUGAGACGUGAGACUAAUGAAUAAACCAGUAUAUAGUGAUGAAUAAAACAAUACGUAUAUAGUGUUAAAUAAUGAUAUUCAAAAAAUUAGUGAUUAUUUUUUGCUCCAUCCAGGAAUCGAAUUCAGGUAAAAAAAUUUCUCCUCCAGAUAAAUAUCAGCCAUAGGAUACAUUAAAUCAACACCUACAAAUUAAUCUAAGAUCUCACCAUAUAUGAGGAAUCUCAUUGGAACCAUUCCAUAUAUAUAUAUAUAUAUAGGGGAGGGCUAUGGUAUAAACAUUUAUUGAUGAUCCAAGGGCUAAAAAUGGUUCAUUUUAUAUUUUAAGAAGUGUUUCUAAAAAAUCAAAAGCUGGCGACUUUUUCUUGGAGGGGCCGAUAUUUUUGACCGACUCCCACCGGAGCCGGCGCCGCUCCCUCAACCGGUGAAGCACAACAAAGUGCUCGCUGCCCAGGUGCCUUCCUCCCAGCAGCAACACAGGCAGACCAGCAGCGCGGCGUCGUCCUCCAGCUUGCUGCAGCGUCGUCCCGCUCACGAUCCAGCAGCAGCAGCAGCGCGGGCGCGGCGACCGGUGCAGAUCCAGCAGCAGCAGCGCGGCGACCGGUGCAGGCAGACCAGCAGCAGCAGCGCGGCGAACCCACCGGUCCGGCCGUCCACCUGUCUCGGACCUCCCUAGCCGCCACCGGACUGGAACCUCGUACUGCUGCUCCGGCAGUCCAAUGACUACCUCGCCG